AUAUAACUAAAUUAUAUAAAACACUUGUUGGUAGCCCCGUUUUAAAUAUAACACAAGGAACAGAUCCUAAUGUUCGAGUCUAUGCUCAUUGUACUAAUACACUCAGGGCUAGGGGUUAUGAAGCUGGGAGUGUUACAGUAUAUUUAAUGAAUAUCGGAACUGAACCGGUUACAGUAGAUAUCAAUGGCGGAACAACUAAACAUCUAUAUAUAUUAUCACCUGGUGAUGAUAGAGGUCUUACAUCACAGUCACUAAAGCUUAAUGGAAUACUUCUCACGAUGCCAACAGAUCGACAGUUACCUCCCCUUAACCCAAUGAUACACAAUGGACCAAUUGAGUUACAGGGUUACGGAAUGUCAUUUGUUGUCAUGGAAGCCAGGAAGAAAGAAUGUUUCUAAAAAAAAAUAAUAAAAUGUUGAC